GAUGAACGCUGGCGGCGUGCCUAAUACAUGCAAGUCGAGCGCACGGACGAGAUGCUUGUUUCUCUUAUGUUAGCGGCGGACGGGUGAGUAACACGUGGGUAACCUACCUAUAAGACUGGGACAACUUUGGGAAACCGGAGCUAAUACCGCAUGAUAUUUUUAACCGCAUGUUUCAAAAUUGAAAGACGGUCUUGCUUUCACUAAUAGAUGUAUCGGCGCUGCAUUAGUUAGUUGGUAAGUUAACGGCUUACCAAGGCAACGAUGCAUACCCGACCUGGAGGGGGGAUCGGCCACAUGGGAACUGAGAAAGGCUCCAAACUCCUACGGAAGGCACAAGAAGGGAAUCUUGGGAAAUGGCGGAAGGCCUGACGGGGCAACGCCGGGUAAGGGAUGAGGGUCUUCGAAUCGAAAAACCCUGUUGUAAGGGAGAAACAUAUGUGUAAGUAAAAGUGCACAACUUGACGGUACCUAAUCAGAAAGCCACGGCUAACUACGUG
rnacentral:rRNA from 1 species